rnacentral:rRNA from 1 species
AUUGAACGCUGGCGGCAGGCCUAACACAUGCAAGUCGAACGAGUGGCGGACGGGUGCGUAAUUUCUGGGACACUGCCUGAUGGAGGGGGAUAACUACUGGACACGGUAGCUAAUACCGCAUACCAUCGGAUUUGCCCAGAUGGGAUUAGCUCGUAGGUGGGGUAACGGCUCACCUAGGCGACGAUCCCUAGCUGGUCUGAGAGGAUGACCAGCCACACUGGAACUGAGACACGGUCCAGACUCCUAUGGGAGGCAGCAGUGGGGAAUAUUGCACAAUGGGCGCAAGCCUGAUGCAGCCAUGCCGCGUGUAUGAAGAAGGCCUUCGGGUUGUAAAGUACUUUCAGCGAGGAGGCGUUACUCGCAGAAGAAGCACCGGCUAACUCCGUGCCAGCAGCCGCGGUAAUUC